GAGGGCUCUGUUCUGUUCCAUUGGUCUAUAUCUCUGUUUUGGUACCAGUACCAUGCUGUUUUGGUUACUGUAGCCUUGUAGUAUAGUUUGUAGUCAGAUAGCAUGGUGCCUCCAGCUUUGUUCUUUUGGCUUAGGAUUGACUUGGCAAUGAGGGCUCUUUUUUAGUUCCAUAUGAACUUUAAAGUAGUUUUUUCCAAUUCUGUGAAGAAAAUCAUUGGUAGCUUGAUGGGGAUGGCACUGAAUCUAUAAAUUACCUUGGGCGGUAUGGCCAUUUUCACAAUGAUUCUUCCUAUCCAUGAGCAUGGAAUGUUCUUCCAUUUGUUUGUGUCCUCUUUUAUUUCGUUGAGCAGUGGUUUGUAGUUCUCCUUGAAGAGGUCCUUCACAUCCCUUUUAAGUGGGAUUCCUAGGUAUUUUAUCUCUUUGAAGCAAUUGUGAAUGGGAGUUCACUCAUGAUUUGGCUCUCUGUCUGUUAUUGGUGUAUAAGAAUGCUUGUGAUUUUUGCACAUUGAUUUUGUAUCCUGAGACUUUGCUGAAGUUGCUUAUCGGCUUAAGGAGAUUUUGGGCUUCUUUUGCUGUUUUUAGAAUUCUCUGUUUUUGACUUUUGACAGUUUGACUAUCAUUUGUCUCUGGGAAGACCUCUUUAGAUUGAAUCUAUUUGGGACUCCUUGAGUUUCCAGCUUCCAAAUGUCUAUGUCUCUAGCAAGACCUGGGAAGUUUUCAGCUAUUAUUUCAUUAAAUAGGCUGUCUAUACCUUUGCCCAUUUCUUCUCCUGGAACUCCCCAAAUUUGAAUUUUUGUUCUUUUGUGUCCCAUAUGUCACAUGGCUUGCUUUAUUGUUUUUUAUGUCUUAUUUCAAAAAACAUGUCUUCAGUUCAGAAAUUCUUUCUUCUGCUUUAUCUUGUCUUAUUAUGUUGUCUUCAAUAAGAUGAGGUUAUGUACGUUGUAGUCGGACUUCACUGGGGAUAGGGAAACCAGGUGAGCCAGUCAGUCCUCUAGCACCAGUGGCAGCAGCAGAAGGGUAGGUGGGCCAGUCCUCAGUCGCCUGGGUGGUGUACUUCAUGUGGCAGGCUCAAGUGCUGGCAGUGGUUGUGGCAGGUCAGGCAGGCAGGUCCUCAGGGCCCUGGGUAGCACUUGUGGUAUUGGCUGUGGCAGUAAUGUCAACAGGCUGGCCCUCAGGCGCUGGCAGCAUGAGUGGACUUGGCAGGUCUGUCCUCACACCCUUGGAUAGUGUGUGAGGGAGGAUUGUUCCUUAGGCCUCUUCACAGCAUGUACAGGUAUGAGGUGGCCCUGCUGCUGGAAGGGCAGGAUUGCAGUUGGUGGCAGCAGUCUCAGGAAGUCAGCUGCCAAGCUGCAGGGAAUGUACACUUUGGCCCUCUUUGUCCUUGGGGCAGCCUCCCUGAUGUGCUUCACCACCUAUUCUCUAGGGUGUAGGUUACCUUGUGGGCUAGAGUGCUGAGGAACUGGCCAUAGCACUGGGUCCAGCUGGCAUUGCAAUGCUGCAGCCCUCUAGGUGGUGGUGGGAGGAUGUCAGUGGGGCUCCAGGAAUGUGGAGAUGCAGGGGCUGUUGAGUCCCAGGGAGGAUGUAGUCUGGUGGGGACUGAGCUCUCAAAAUGGCACCAUGCUGCAGUUGCUUGGGUGUUGGCGGUCAGUGGGAUCCAGUGUGAAUUCCCUUUCUUGAACAAUGCAGUUUUGUGAACUCCAAGCAGCAACCUAUACUAGGCUCAGGGCCUGUUAGGGCCAAGGGGCUCUCUGGUGGCUAGGACUGCAGGCAUCCCUGGUGGGAAUGUGGACUAUUGGGAAUCUCCCCCUUACCUUUUCCUAGUAAUGGCAAGUUCCUUCCAGCUCUGAGCCAAUUCCAGCUGGGCUGGGUGCUUCUUUGUUUCUCUCUCCUUCUUUACCUCAGAGGUGCCCUGUCACUUUCCUGGUGAAUUCUAGUGUUCUCUCUGUCUACUUGAUGUGUGGUUAUCUAUUUGCUGCUUUGGUCCCACUUAGUGGAGGAGGUGAGUGCCAGGCACCUCAUCAGCCAUGUUGGUUACAUCUUGCCUAAAAGAACUUGACACAGAUCUUAAAAGGAACUUAUGGGCUAAUACCACUGAUUGAAAAAAAAAAAAGAUGCAAACCCCUCAAAUAUUAGCAAAUCAAAUCCAGGAAUACACAUUUAAAAACACUUCACAAUCAGCCGGGCACAUUGGCUCAUGCCUGUAAUCCCACCACUUUGGGAGGCCAAGGCUGGCAGAUCAUUUGAGAUCAGCAGUUCAAGACCAGCUGGGCCAACAUACUGAAACCAUGUCUCUACUAAAAAUACAAAAAUACAAAAAUAAAUAAAUAAAUAAAUAAAUAAAAAAUAAGCCAGGCUUGGUGGCAGUUACCUGUAAUCCCAGCUAUUUGGGAGGCUGAGGCAGGAGAAUCACUUGAACCCAGGAGAUGGAAGUUGCAGUGAGCUGAGAUUACGCCACUGCACUCUAGCCUAGGGGACAAAGCAAGACUCCUUCUUGAAGAAACAAACAACAACAAAAAAUUACAAUCAAUUUGGCUCAUUGCUGGAAUGCAAACUUCAUUUAAUAUUGAAACAUGACUCACCAAAUGAGAAAAACCUUAUGAUCAUUGGAAUAAAAUGCAGAAAAAUCAUCUGAUAAAUUUCCACAUCCAUUAAUAAUUUUUUAAAAAGUCCCUUAGCAAAUUAGAAAGCUAAGGUAGCUUCUUUAGUCUGAUAAAAGAGAUCCACCCAGGUAUUAAGCCCAGUACUCAAUAGCUAUCUUUUCUGCUUCUGGGCUUAAUACCUGGGUGAUGAAAUAAUCUGUACAACAAAACUGUGACACAAGUUUACCUAUGUUACAAGCCUUCGCAUGUACCCCCAAACCUAAAAGUAAAAAAAAAAAAUUUAAAAAGAGAAAAAUAGGAACACAAAAAUGCAGUAUUAAAACAUAACUGCAUAAAAUUAACUGUAGUACAUGACAUACUACUUUAAUAAUUUCGUAGCCACCUCUCAUUGCUAUUGUGAGUUCAAGUGUUGCCAAUAUCUGCUUAAAGUGCUGUGUGAUGCUAAUCAUCUCCGUGUGGGUAGUUCGUGUCUCUACUAAAUUAUGUAUCAUGGUGAAAAAAAAAAAUCCACAAAAAAAAAAAUCAACAGUAUUUUUAGGUGAUACAUACAAAAUCAAAAUAAUUUAUACAGGCCGGGCUCAGUGGCUCAUGCCUGUAAUCCCAACACUUUGGGAGGCCAAGGCGGACAGACUGCUUGAGUCCAGAAGUUUGAGGCCAACCUGGGCAACAUGGUAAACCUCCGUCUCUUAAAACAAACAAACAAACAAACAAAAAUUAGCUGCGUGUGGUGGUGCAUGCCUGUGGCCCCAGCUAUUCAGGAGGCUGAGGUCGGAGGACCACCUAAGCCCAGGAGACAGAGGUUGCAGUGAGCCGAGAGUACGCCACUGCACUCCAGCCUGGGUGACAUAGUGAGACCCUGUCUCAAGAAAAAAAAAAAAAAUUCAUACAAAUAAAUUGUUAGGAUUAAUUAGAAAGUUUAUAAGUCUGCUAAAUACAAACAUCAAAUGUAUUUGUGGACCUUUGCUCUGGAACUUUAUGAAAAUACAGGUUUGGCUGGGUGCGGUGGCUCAUGCCUAUAAUCCCAGCACUUUGGGAGGCUGAGGUAGGUGGAUCACCUGAGGUCAGGAGUUCGAGACCAGCCUGACCAAUAUGGUGAAACCCUGUCUUUAUUAAAAAUACAAAAAUUAGCUGGACAUGGUGGUGCAUACCUGUAGUCCCAGCUAAACUCGGGAGGUUGAGACAUAAUUGCUUGAACCUGGGAGGUGGAGGUUGAAGUGAAUCGAGAUCACACCACUGCACUCCAGCCUGGGCAACAAAGCGAGACUCCAUCUCAAAAAAUAAAUAAAUAAAUAAAUUAAAUUAAAUACAGGUUUGGGGGCUCCACCCCCAUUUCUAAAUCAGUAGCUCCAGGGCAGGGCUCAAGGAUGUGCAUUUCUUUUUUUUUUCUUUUUUUGAGAUGGAGUCUCACUCUGUUACCCAGGCUGGAGUGCAGUGGUGUGAUCUCGGCUACUGCAACCUCCGCCUCCUGGGUUCAAGUGAUUCUCCUACCUCAGCCUUUCGAGUAGCUGGGAUUACAGGAGCCAGCCACCAUGCCCAGCUAAUUUUUGUGUUUUUAGUAGAUACAGGUUUCACCAUGUUGGCCAGGCUAAUCUUGAACUCCUGACCUCAGGUGAUUCCCCGGCCUCGCCCUCCCAAAAUGCUGGGAUUACAGGUGUGAGCUGCCAGGCCCCACCAAGAAUCUGCAUUUCUAUGGGUACAAAAAAAAUAGUAAGAAUGAAUAAGAUCUAGUAUUUGAUAGCACAACAGAGUAACUAUAGUCGAUAAUUUAAUUAUAGAUCUUAAAAUAACUAAAAGAGUAUAACUGGAUUGUUUCUAAUACAAAGGAUAAAUGCUUGAGGUAAUGGAUACCCCAAUUACCCUGAUGCGAUAAUUACAUGUUAUAUGCCUGUAUCAAAAUAUUCCAUGUACCCCAUAUAUAUAUCUACUAUGUACUCACAAAAAUUAAAAAUUAAGAAUUUGCAUUUUUAACCAGUUCUCUCUGGUGAUGCUGAUGCUCCUCAUCAGGGGACCACACUUGGAGAAUGAUUGCUAUAGAUUAACAACAAUGAAACUUACAAUAAAGUCACUUACCCAGGAAUCUAACAAACGAUGCAUAAUAUGUAAACACAGAAUACUAUAAAUCAUUGCGGAUAUAAAUGAAAGAUAAUCUAAAUAAAUGGGUACUCCACUUACAUAUUUUGGAAAACUCAAUAUUCUGGAGAUGUCAAUUUGUCUCAACCUUGUCUAUAGCUUAAUGCAAUUUGAUUCAAAAUUUCCAUAGAUUUCUAUUUGUGGAACCCAAUAAAUCUGAAAUGUAUACUGAGGCAUUGUGAGUAAAGAGCACAGAUAAUUAAAAUAGGCUUCUUACUUUCUGGGUUUGAAUACUGGCUCCAUCAACUACUCUGUGACUAUGGUCACGUUACUUAACCCUUCAAAGAAAACAGGAAAGAUACAAUUUGGUGCCCAUAUGGGAAAAACAGUUGACUUGAACUUCACUGAUUUGGCAUGUAUUUAUCAAGGCCCUCCUUUUGGCUGAGGAGACCCCUCUGGAAAGAAUGGUAUCCAUUUCUUCCUGGCAGUGUUCACCAUUCUCCAAACCACUGACCUGCGGCCUGGUUCAUGAAAUGGUGGGUGGCUACUAGACAAAGAUCUCUGAACAAACCUGUCCUUCCAUAGUUCUAUUCCUGGAAGUCUCAGUGAGUCUACACCAGCCCUGGAAAUGAGGAAUUCAGGGGCCAACUCCCAUCCUCAGCUGAGUUAUUUCCAAGGAACUGGACUGCUCCAGCAUCUGCCCCAUGAACAAGAGCUCCAAAGCAGCAGAGUCUGGCCUUGGCUCAGUGCCAAGUAACUACCCAGACUUCAGGACACCUCCCAUAUGCAUGGCUCCUUACCUCAGGCUCCCACCAAAGUCCAGGGGGCCUCCUAUACCAUGCCUGAUGAGGCUGGGAAACAAGGGGAGAAGUCAGGGAAGAGGCCAUAAUAAGCCUUAGCCUAUUCCUGAGGUUGGUUUGUCUACUGACUUGGCCAUUUCUUGGAGUUCCAGUGCCAAGUUCCAAAGGCCCAGUCUACCCAUAAAGAAGAGGCUCACCCAUUCCAAGAGCAGCCGAAACCAGCUCACUCAUUUAUUUGACUGAGAACAUUAAGAAGGACAACAAAAUUAAAC
rnacentral:lncRNA from 1 species